GGAGGAGUGGCCGAAUGGUUGAAGGCGGCGGUCUUGAAAACCGCAGGUACGCAAGUACCCAGGGGUUCUCCGCCAAAGGACGGACUAGUCCUACGGCUAGGAUUCCCUCCUCCUCCG
rnacentral:tRNA from 1 species